AACGAACGCUGGCGGCAUGCCUAACACAUGCAAGUCGAACGAGACCUUCGGGUCUAGUGGCGCACGGGUGCGUAACGCGUGGGAAUCUGCCCUUAGGUUCGGAAUAACUUCGGGAAACUGAAGCUAAUACCGGAUGAUGACGUAAGUCCAAAGAUUUAUCGCCUAAGGAUGAGCCCGCGUUGGAUUAGCUAGUUGGUGAGGUAAAGGCUCACCAAGGCGACGAUCCAUAGCUGGUCUGAGAGGAUGAUCAGCCACACUGGGACUGAAACACGGCCCAGACUCCUACGGAGGCAGCAGUGGGGAAUAUUGGACAAUGGGCGAAAGCCUGAUCCAGCAAUGCCGCGUGAGUGAUGAAGGCCUUAGGGUUGUAAAGCUCUUUUACCCGAGAUGAUAAUGACAGUAUCGGGAGAAUAAGCUCCGGCUAACUCCGUGCCAGCAGCCGCGGUAAAGUGAC
rnacentral:rRNA from 1 species